rnacentral:rRNA from 1 species
AACGGCCAUAACAUGCUGAAUAUACCGGUUCUCGUUAGAUCACCGAAGUCAAGCAUUAUUGGGCGCGGUCAGUACUUCGCUGUG